ensembl:lncRNA
CUUCCAAUUCCUUCUUCUCCAUGUUCUUGGGAACACACUAAAAUGAAUCUUCUGGUUCCACUGCUUGUAUGAGGUAGCUGAGCUGUUCUACAAGUACCUAUUAUAUUCCUCAUGCCAAAUUCAGAACUACACUGAUUUAUCUGUCAGCAGAGGAACUUCCUUGUGCUUUCAGUCCAUUCAUUUUGACCAAGGGAACUGACGUUGUUCAAUCUGGAGAAAAGAAGGCUGAGAAGAGGAAAACUUCAUUACCCUCCUGCUGCAAACACCUGAACAUGCUGUAGUGAUGAAAAACUUAUUCUCAGAAAGACUGGUAAUGCAUUGGAACAGGCUGCCCAAGGAGGUAGUAGAGUCACCAUCCCUGGAGGUAUUCAAGGAAAAGGUAGAUGUGGAACUGAGGAACAUGGCUUAGUAGGCAUGAUGAGGAUGGGUUGUUAGUUAGACUAGAUGAUCGUAGUAGCCACUUCCAACGUUUAUGAUUCUAUGAGGAGGCUGUCAGCACCUUUUCUCACCUGAGAGCAGAUGAAAUAUGAAGAAAAGGUCUCAGGUAGCACCUUGGUAGGUUUAGAUUGGAUAUAAGAAAGAAUUUCUUUACAGAAAGUGUGAUCUGGCAUUGGAAUGGGCUGCCCAGGAAACCGGUGGAUUCUCCAUCCCUGAAGGUAUUUAGGAGACACGUGGAUAUGGCCCUUAGUGACAUGGUUUAGUGGUGGACUUGGUAGUGUUAGGUGAUGAUUGGACUUGAUGAACAUAGGACUUUUUCCAAAAUGAAUGAUUCUAAGGUUCUGUGACUCAGUGAUUUAGAUGUUGGUAAUAAUGGUCAAAUUAUCUGACUUAAAUACAGAAGUACAGUCCAAGAACAGCAUUAAUGAAGGUGCUGUGCAAAUCCAGAGGUAGAUGCACACAACACUACUCUUGUCUUGUCACAAUUUACACCCUGACACCUGAUCAGGUUGGCCACAUUGCUGACUCCUUCAUUCUGCCCUGGGGCACUGUGCCCUGCUCUCAGCUACUCUGCGGUAUUUACAUUGUCCUUUGGGCAUAGUCCCUCAAUAUCGAUCUACACAAACAGGAAAGAAGAAAAGCAAACAACAACAAAAAAAGUGUGAAGUCUUCUGUUCCUCUCUGCCUGAUGGCUGCUAAGCAGCUGCAUGCAGCACAGCUGAGACCUGCUACUCCUGGCUGAGAAGAGCAGCCCACAGAGCAAGGCCAUUGAGCCGUUUUAGGAGGAGUCACCCACAGCACAGAACUACAAAGCUCUUCUGUGCAUAAUGAUUCUGUGGGUCUUUUCCAACCUUAGCGAUAAUCUAUGAUUCUAUGAUUCUGUAAUCUGUCACUGUACCUGGCCCUGAAGAGCAGUGGGAUGUGGAUUUUACUUGCACAGGAAAAUGCAGUGGUUUCUUUGAUAACUCUCUGCAUUGUAUGUAUGUAUUUAUUUAUUUAUUUAUUGGCACAUACAAAUCCCAAGGAGAAACCUAU